UAUUAGGCUUUCUUUGGAAAAGCCACCCCAAAGAAAAAAAAAUAUAUUAU
rfam:Macleaya cordata isolate BLH2017 scaffold8895, whole genome shotgun sequence.